GGGUCCUUAGCUCAGUGGUAGAGCAAUCGACUGCAGAUCGAUAGGUCACCGGUUCGAACCCGGUAGGGCCCU
rfam:Jatropha curcas cultivar GZQX0401 scaffold18_25, whole genome shotgun sequence.